rnacentral:lncRNA from 1 species
GCAGGUGAUCGGAAGAUCUGCCAAGCUCAGAGCCGUUUCCAGCAGCAUCGCUUCCUCUGCAGAGAAGCUUCCCCUCCCCGUGUGGAGGCCCAGUGGAGUCGCAGCCUCGGCCUAACCCUCCCCCUACCCAAUGCCAGGCACUGGGAGUGCCCGGGCCUCCAGAGGUGUCUUUGCUCCCAGGUACCCUGGAAACAGUGCCUGGUCCCGGAGUCUGGGCCAAAAGAGGAUGGGCAGCCUUGUGCCCCAGAGCACCAUGGGAGUAUCUUGGGCAUCACCUUAAACUGGGAAUCUCAGCCCAUGGCCUGCCACAACAGCCCAAGAGCAGCAAUCAAGCCGGGUGACACGGCCAGGCUCUGCGGGGACAUGCACCACUGUCUCAAGGCCACAUGAAGACGCCCAGCCCAGGGGAACCAGUGAACACCAGACAGGUGGGCUGCUGCCACCUCUGAUUGUAAGUGAAAGAAAUUUGUGUGACCAAAAAAAAAAAAAUACAGCAAUGCUUAAAUGAAAGUAGAAGUUAUUAUAGUGAAAUGUGCGAAGCACCCUCCAGUCCUCCCCCGCUCAUCGGACACGUGCAGCCCACGUCGGCGCCACUUUCCGAAGCAGCCCUGCAGGGCUCUUCUGUCAAGUAAAGGGCAAUUUCUGUCAAG